rnacentral:rRNA from 1 species
GGAAUAUUGGACAAUGGGGGAAACCCUGAUCCAGCCAUGCCGCGUGUGUGAAGAAGGCCUUUUGGUUGUAAAGCACUUUAAGCGAGGAGGAGGCUACUUAGAUUAAUACUCUAGGAUAGUGGACGUUACUCGCAGAAUAAGCACCGGCUAACUCUGUGCCAGCAGCCGCGGUAAUACAGAGGGUGCGAGCGUUAAUCGGAUUUACUGGGCGUAAAGCGUGCGUAGGUGGUCUUUUAAGUCGGAUGUGAAAUCCCUGAGCUUAACUUAGGAAUUGCAUUCGAUACUGGGAGACUAGAGUAUGGGAGAGGAUGGUAGAAUUCCAGGUGUAGCGGUGAAAUGCGUAGAGAUCUGGAGGAAUACCGAUGGCGAAGGCAGCCAUCUGGCCUAAUACUGACACUGAGGCACGAAAGCAUGGGGAGCAAACAGGAUUAGAUACCCGAG